CUCCCACCUACAGAUGGCGGCUCCCCACAAACACAACAGCACUUUCAUCAUGGAGUGUAUCGAAUAAAUUUCCACAAUGGCUGGUACGCAUUGCAUAUCAUUUUGUUGUAAGGCUUAUAUUACAUUUUACUCUUUUUCAGAACUAAACGGAUGCGUAUAUGGUAACGUCUCCGCCAUUCACGCGGUUUGACAGCUAACGUAACACACACGCCCACCUGAUGGAAAAACUGGAAGCAUGUAGCACAGUGAAAGAAUUAAUUCCACUUGGCGCUCCACGACGUGACAGUGUAGAUGCCACGCCACAUCCUGUGUCAGGUAGUCUACGUUUUGAACCUUCUGAGAAGACUCCAAAACUCUUGAGCUCACUGCCUAAAUGUAUCCUGCCCACUAAAAACCCUGAGCUGGAACAGAGGGACAAGUCCACUUCAGCUGCACUCAAAGCCUCCAAUAAUAGACCACAUCAGGAUAGUAUUCUGGAUUGCAAAGUUGUUAUGAGAAAACUACAACCAAAUAAUGGCAACAUUAACUCCAGGAAGGAUGGCUCUCUCAAUCCCACGAUUAAAAAGGACACUCUGCGGAGGACCAGUUCUUACAACAGAGACAGAGAAAUUUCUUUUGCUCUCAGUAAGGAGCUGAAUGAAAACUUGAGGGUAAAUGCAGCUAUAAUUUUUUUCUUAAUGCAUUUCCAUCAGUAUUCUAAUGCAGGGACUCC
rnacentral:lncRNA from 1 species